GGUGAACAUAUGUUUAGUGGUUGGUUAUGUGAUGGACAUUUAAAUAAUUCAGUAUCCAAAUCCGCAAAGACGUCAGUCAGAAGAAUGCAUUACUUUGACAAACUGAUAUCAAGCUAUUCCUAUCCACCCAUUGCAUACUUUUUUGACAUUGGUGGGUUUCUAUGUUUUCCUCUGUUUUGCAGACAUUUUAAGGUACGUUAUAUAAGUCAGUAUUUGUGUAAACUAUGCAAAUGAUCUAUUUUCGUUUUUAUGAUACAGACAUGCAUAUAAUUCUAUAAAGGCAAAUUCUAGUAGAAGUACGGUACCCAGGAAAUACAAGACGUGGACUUUAACUGAUGUCACAUACACGAAAACGAGGCUCUAUAGCCAAAGUGACGUACUUUCCGGAAGGGUGUAUUGGAAAUUGGCCAAUAUUUAAAACAAAACGUUGCAAAGUCCGGACCUGCCAGCCAUCAGUGUGCCAGCCCAUGCAGUAAUGCUGGAAGAGAAUCUGCAGACUUGGGGAAUAAAUUCCUUAAAAAACCUUGUGCUUUUGCAAAAAAAUCCGAAGACGAAGAUUCAGUUCUAAAUCAAACUAUACUUCUAUUUGAAAUAAAAGCAGGAAAAAACGCACAAAAAAUUAUUAACAAUAAUUUAUCAUUACUCAGUGUUAGAAAAACGUAACAAUUUAAGUCGAUUUUGUUAAACAAGGACAAAUGAUGAAGUCUAAAACUUAAUUUCCGUUUAUCUAUUUGUUAUUCUUCGCUUGUUUGUUUGUAUAAAUUUAGGAAAACGGGAGGGGGGGGGGGGGAUGUGAUUUCGUGGGCUUGUAUUUAAAAAAAAAGGCCCUGGUCAUGUGUUUUUACCCUCUUCAAAUUCAUUCUGUUGGCAGAAUUGGCAGACAAUUAACGUCGUUGUUAAGACUGUAUGCAUGUUAAGGAAAAAGUAUAGAUUAUAAUUAGUGUUUAUAUUUUUAAGUUGAUAUAUAAAUCCAAUAAAUUCGGAUAAACAUGAAUCAGGUGACUUUCGAGCCUUCUGAUCAAAGUCAUUUGAACUGGAUUGAAAGUCAAUAGAAACUAGAAAGAUAUAAUUAACAUACCGUAAACCUCCGAAUAUAAGCCCACCCGAAUGUAUAUGUGUGUAUAUAUAUAUAUAUAUAUAUAUAUAUAUAUAUAUAUAUAUAUAUAUAUAUAUAUAUAUAUAUAUAUAUAUAUAUAUAUAUAUAUAUAUAUAUAUAUAUAUAUAUAUAUAUAUAUAUAUAUAUAUAUAUAUAUAUAUAUAUAUUGGGAACGUUUGAUAUAUCAAGAGUGCAGGGACACAAUAAUUAAAAUCCUUAAACUGUUUGACUCAUUGACGCAAGCUAGUGCAUCCAUGCAAUUAUAACUCCCCACCUACAGUUAAGUUUAUUGUUGACUUUCAGCUGCCGGAAACUUAGAGUUUAUUUGCACGACUAGAAUCAUAUGUUCUGUGAUCCAAAACUGAAUUUUCAGGAUUAUACAUUCAUUUUAUUAUUACUGAAAACAUCAGCUGGCAAAGCCAAAGGUUUUUGCAAGUUAAUAAAACGGCAUGGGAAAAAGAGCUUAAAAAAUACAAAAUACAUAAGUUAAAUAGUUUUCUGAUUCACACAUUACAACAUAAACCAAACUGAACAUUUUUCUAUGUAUAAUCUAAUGAUAGAGUAUUUUUUCUAGAGUCAAGUAGUAAGAAUGACCCCUCAUACAUUGAUUGCACGUGAGGUGUUGAAGAAAUGUUUUCUUAUCAUCCAAGAAUAUUUUCCUGACAAUAUCUGCUAUUUUGAAGAAUCUACAUCCGCAGAUUACAAUCAUUCUCAUAUGAAAUGUCACUUAUCUUCAGGAUAAGCCCCUGAAAUACACUUCCCAAUUCAGUUGGCGAGUGUGGUCUGCAGGCAUUCAAUGAGCCAAAGUAAGCAGUUUGAGCUUCAUAUUGAUACGUUAGACGACAAAAUUAGCCAUGCAGGGCAAUGAUUUUUCUAGAAAUGCAAAAUUAUUCUUUUGACAUAACAAAGUUUUGAGCGAUGGAAAUGGAGGAAACUGCAAAUUCUGCCAGGAAAAUCUGGUUCUGCCGUUGAGCUCAAACGUGGAGCAUAAACUCCUCAAUAUAACACAGCAUCACAUUGUGGCUAUUAGCAUGGGAAAUAAAAUAUUCUGUAUAUAUUAAACUGCAAUUGGACAAGAGCAAAGCAUUUAAAACAAUCACUGUACAUAGAGAGUAUAAUAAUAACAUAUUUAUCCAAAACUUAUUUAUAAGUUAUACCCAAAACUUAUUUAUGUAUAUAUUAUAAUAAUAACAUAUUUAUCCAUAACUUAUUUGAAAACACAAAAGAAAUCAUGACCGUGAAGGAGUUUGUAUAUAUCUGAUACAAAACCAUGCUGAUUUACAUAAACUUUAAAUUCAAUUUUCUCACCUAAUAUCAUUCAUUAGCGUU
rnacentral:lncRNA from 1 species